UUAGUAUUAGCUCAAGAACUUCAUUGUUUUUCUCACAUUUGCAUGUUUAUUUUGAUAAAAUUCAUUUAGUUCACAAAAAAUAGACUAAUUAAGUUGUCAUUUCUACGCGCUGCAUUUGUUCAUCGGUGUUGGCCGGUGGAGGGGUGCACACGGGGUCACAGGCAGGACACUUGCUCUUGCACUCGUCGUCCGAAAAGAAGCACGGUUCAUCCUUUAGAUUCCGGCAGCAAAAACAAGUUAUGAAAUCGUGAGGGUCCUUCGGGCGGGUACAUUGGCUCUUGAUGCAGAAUUUUACAGUAAGCUUGCUAUCGUCCACUAAGGUUGCAUUGACGGCUACCAUUGUAGCUCCGGCACGAUCCACUACUACAUAGCUCCUCCUUCCAGCCACGAAUCGAGCUAUUGCAUCAAACAAAUGUUACGUGUUUGUUAGUAAUAUGAUACGUACAAAUAUUGUUGUUUGCAUCAAUCGAAAUCCAAUUCGAAUGGAUAGGUGGUAACCUCCUUUUCUUUGUAGUAAAAAAGAAUGGUAGUAUUGGUGUUGAUGAGGUAUAUGCAUGCUUACACUGUGCGAUAGCUG
rnacentral:lncRNA from 1 species